GGUGAUAUGGCUCAGUGGUAGAGCACAUGCUUAGCAUGCACGAGGUCCUAGGUUCAAUCCCUGGUACCUCCA
rnacentral:tRNA from 1 species